AAAAAUUUAGUUAAAAAAUAACAUUAGCUUGUCAGGCUAAAAUUACUUAUUAAGUAGUUUUUA
rnacentral:tRNA from 1 species